UACGAGGGGGGCAAAUGUUGUUCGGAAUCACUGGGCGUAAAGGGAGCGUAGGCGGGUUUCUAAGUCAGGUGUUUAAUCCCGGGGCCCAACCCCGGACAGGCACUUGAAACUGGGAAUCUUGAAUAGUGGAGAGGUCAGUGGAAUUGGGGUGUAGCGGUGGAAUGCGUAGAGAUCCCCAAGAACACCAGUUGCGAAGGCGGCUGACUGGACACAGUAUUGACGCUGAGGAGCGAAAGCCAGGGGAGCAAACGGG
rnacentral:rRNA from 1 species